GGCCUACCAUGGUGGUAACGGGUAACGGGAUGUUAGGGCACGACACCGGAGAGGGAGCUGAGAAACGGCUACCACAUCCAAGGAUGGCAGCAGGCGCGCAAAUUACCCAAUCCCGACACGGGGAGGUAGUGACAAUAAAUAACAAUACGGGGUUCUUAUGGAUUUCGUAAUUGGAAUGAGUACAAUUUAAAUCUCUUAACGAGGAACAAUUGGAGGGCAAGUCUGGUGCCAGCAGCCGCGGUAAUUCCAGCUCCAAUAGCGUAUAUUAAAGUUGUUGCAGUUAAAAAGCUCGUAGUUGAAUUUCGGGAUCAAUAUGUUGGUCGUGCCUCGGUACGUACUAGCAUAUUGGUUUCUCCUUUCUGAAGAACCAUGAUGUCAUUUAUUUGGUGUCGUGGGGAAUCAGGACUGUUACUUUGAAAAAAUUAGAGUGUUUAAAGCAGGCUCACGCUUGAAUACAUUAGCAUGGAAUAAUGAAAUAGGACGUUUGAUUCUAUUUUGUUGGUUUCUAGGAUCGACGUAAUGAUUAAUAGGGAUAGUUGGGGGCAUUAGUAUUCAAUUGUCAGAGGUGAAAUUCUUGGAUUUAUUGAAGACUAACUACUGCGAAAGCAUUUGCCAAGGAUGUUUUCAUUAAUCAAGAACGAAAGUUAGGGGAUCGAAGACGAUCAGAUACCGUCGUAGUCUUAACCAUAAACUAUGCCGACUAGGGAUCGGAUGAUGUUAAUUUUUUAAUGACUCAUUCGGCGCCUUACGGGAAACCAAAGUGUUUGGGUUC
rnacentral:rRNA from 1 species